GAACGGCAGCGCGGGAGCAAUCCUGGCGGCGAGUGGCGAACGGGUGAGUAAUAUAUCGGAACGUGCCCAUUAGUGGGGGAUAGCCCGGCGAAAGCCGGAUUAAUACCGCAUACGACCUGCAGGGUGAAAGCGGGGGAUCGCAAGACCUCGCGCUAUUGGAGCGGCCGAUAUCAGAUUAGCUAGUUGGUGGGGUAAAAGCCUACCAAGGCAACGAUCUGUAGUUGGUCUGAGAGGACGACCAGCCACACUGGGACUGAGACACGGCCCAGACUCCUACGGGAGGCAGCAGUGGGGAAUUUUGGACAAUGGGCGCAAGCCUGAUCCAGCAAUGCCGCGUGCAGGAAGAAGGCCUUCGGGUUGUAAACUGCUUUUGUCAGGGAAGAAAUCCUUUGGGUUAAUACCUCGAAGGGAUGACGGUACCUGAAGAAUAAGCACCGGCUAACUACGUG
rnacentral:rRNA from 1 species